AAAAACUUAGUUAAAUUAAAUAACAUUAGUUUGUCGAACUAAAAUAAACAUAAAAAUGUUAGUUUUUU
rnacentral:tRNA from 1 species